rnacentral:rRNA from 1 species
AUUGAACGCUGGCGGCAUGCUUUACACAUGCAAGUCGAACGGUUACAGGCCGCAAGGUGCUGACGAGUGGCGAACGGGUGAGUAAUGCAUCGGAACGUGCCCAGUCGUGGGGGAUAACGCAGCGAAAGCUGUGCUAAUACCGCAUACGAUCUGUGGAUGAAAGCGGGGGACCUUCGGGCCUCGCGCGAUUGGAGCGGCCGAUGUCAGAUUAGGUAGUUGGUGGGGUAAAGGCUCACCAAGCCGACGAUCUGUAGCUGGUCUGAGAGGACGAACAGCCACACUGGGACUGAGACACGGCCCAGACUCCUACGGGAGGCAGCAGUGGGGAAUUUUGGACAAUGGGCGCAAGCCUGAUCCAGCAAUGCCGCGUGCAGGAAGAAGGCCUUCGGGUUGUAAACUGCUUUUGUAUGGAGCGAAAAGGCUCCCUCUAAUACAGGGGGCUCAUGACGGUACCGUAAGAAUAAGCACCGGCUAACUACGUGCCAGCCGCCGCCGUAAGAC